GGUUAAGCGACUAAGCGUACACGGUGGAUGCCCUGGCAGUCAGAGGCGAUGAAGGACGUGCUAAUCUGCGAUAAGCGUCGGUAAGGUGAUAUGAACCGUUAUAACCGGCGAUUUCCGAAUGGGGAAACCCAGUGUGUUUCGACACACUAUCAUUAACUGAAUCCAUAGGUUAAUGAGGCGAACCGGGGGAACUGAAACAUCUAAGUACCCCGAGGAAAAGAAAUCAACCGAGAUUCCCCCAGUAGCGGCGAGCGAACGGGGAGGAGCCCAGAGUCUGAAUCAGUGUGUGUGUUAGUGGAAGCGUCUGGAAAGGCGCGCGAUACAGGGUGACAGCCCCGUACACAAAAAUGCACAUGCUGUGAGCUCGAUGAGUAGGGCGGGACACGUGGUAUCCUGUCUGAAUAUGGGGGGACCAUCCUCCAAGGCUAAAUACUCCUGACUGACCGAUAGUGAACCAGUACCGUGAGGGAAAGGCGAAAAGAACCCCGGCGAGGGGAGUGAAAAAGAACCUGAAACCGUGUACGUACAAGCAGUGGGAGCACGCUUAGGCGUGUGACUGCGUACCUUUUGUAUAAUGGGUCAGCGACUUAUAUUCUGUAGCAAGGUUAACCGAAUAGGGGAGCCGAAGGGAAACCGAGUCUUAACUGGGCGUUAAGUUGCAGGGUAUAGACCCGAAACCCGGUGAUCUAGCCAUGGGCAGGUUGAAGGUUGGGUAACACUAACUGGAGGACCGAACCGACUAAUGUUGAAAAAUUAGCGGAUGACUUGUGGCUGGGGGUGAAAGGCCAAUCAAACCGGGAGAUAGCUGGUUCUCCCCGAAAGCUAUUUAGGUAGCGCCUCGUGAACUCAUCUCCGGGGGUAGAGCACUGUUUCGGCAAGGGGGUCAUCCCGACUUACCAACCCGAUGCAAACUGCGAAUACCGGAGAAUGUUAUCACGGGAGACACACGGCGGGUGCUAACGUCCGUCGUGAAGAGGGAAACAACCCAGACCGCCAGCUAAGGUCCCAAAGUCAUGGUUAAGUGGGAAACGAUGUGGGAAGGCCCAGACAGCCAGGAUGUUGGCUUAGAAGCAGCCAUCAUUUAAAGAAAGCGUAAUAGCUCACUGGUCGAGUCGGCCUGCGCGGAAGAUGUAACGGGGCUAAACCAUGCACCGAAGCUGCGGCAGCGACGCUUAUGCGUUGUUGGGUAGGGGAGCGUUCUGUAAGCCUGUGAAGGUGUGCUGUGAGGCAUGCUGGAGGUAUCAGAAGUGCGAAUGCUGACAUAAGUAACGAUAAAGCGGGUGAAAAGCCCGCUCGCCGGAAGACCAAGGGUUCCUGUCCAACGUUAAUCGGGGCAGGGUGAGUCGACCCCUAAGGCGAGGCCGAAAGGCGUAGUCGAUGGGAAACAGGUUAAUAUUCCUGUACUUGGUGUUACUGCGAAGGGGGGACGGAGAAGGCUAUGUUGGCCGGGCGACGGUUGUCCCGGUUUAAGCGUGUAGGCUGGUUUUCCAGGCAAAUCCGGAAAAUCAAGGCUGAGGCGUGAUGACGAGGCACUACGGUGCUGAAGCAACAAAUGCCCUGCUUCCAGGAAAAGCCUCUAAGCAUCAGGUAACAUCAAAUCGUACCCCAAACCGACACAGGUGGUCAGGUAGAGAAUACCAAGGCGCUUGAGAGAACUCGGGUGAAGGAACUAGGCAAAAUGGUGCCGUAACUUCGGGAGAAGGCACGCUGAUAUGUAGGUGAAGUCCCUCGCGGAUGGAGCUGAAAUCAGUCGAAGAUACCAGCUGGCUGCAACUGUUUAUUAAAAACACAGCACUGUGCAAACACGAAAGUGGACGUAUACGGUGUGACGCCUGCCCGGUGCCGGAAGGUUAAUUGAUGGGGUCAGCGCAAGCGAAGCUCUUGAUCGAAGCCCCGGUAAACGGCGGCCGUAACUAUAACGGUCCUAAGGUAGCGAAAUUCCUUGUCGGGUAAGUUCCGACCUGCACGAAUGGCGUAAUGAUGGCCAGGCUGUCUCCACCCGAGACUCAGUGAAAUUGAACUCGCUGUGAAGAUGCAGUGUACCCGCGGCAAGACGGAAAGACCCCGUGAACCUUUACUAUAGCUUGACACUGAACAUUGAGCCUUGAUGUGUAGGAUAGGUGGGAGGCUUGGAAGUGUGGACGCCAGUCUGCAUGGAGCCGACCUUGAAAUACCACCCUUUAAUGUUUGAUGUUCUAACGUUGACCCGUAAUCCGGGUUGCGGACAGUGUCUGGUGGGUAGUUUGACUGGGGCGGUCUCCUCCUAAAGAGUAACGGAGGAGCACGAAGGUUGGCUAAUCCUGGUCGGACAUCAGGAGGUUAGUGCAAUGGCAUAAGCCAGCUUGACUGCGAGCGUGACGGCGCGAGCAGGUGCGAAAGCAGGUCAUAGUGAUCCGGUGGUUCUGAAUGGAAGGGCCAUCGCUCAACGGAUAAAAGGUACUCCGGGGAUAACAGGCUGAUACCGCCCAAGAGUUCAUAUCGACGGCGGUGUUUGGCACCUCGAUGUCGGCUCAUCACAUCCUGGGGCUGAAGUAGGUCCCAAGGGUAUGGCUGUUCGCCAUUUAAAGUGGUACGCGAGCUGGGUUUAGAACGUCGUGAGACAGUUCGGUCCCUAUCUGCCGUGGGCGCUGGAGAACUGAGGGGGGCUGCUCCUAGUACGAGAGGACCGGAGUGGACGCAUCACUGGUGUUCGGGUUGUCAUGCCAAUGGCACUGCCCGGUAGCUAAAUGCGGAAGAGAUAAGUGCUGAAAGCAUCUAAGCACGAAACUUGCCCCGAGAUGAGUUCUCCCUGACUCCUUGAGAGUCCUGAAGGAACGUUGAAGACGACGACGUUGAUAGGCCGGGUGUGUAAGCGCAGCGAUGCGUUGAGCUAACCGGUACUAAUGAACCGUGAGGCUUAACCUU
rnacentral:rRNA from 1 species